rnacentral:misc_RNA from 1 species
GAGAAAAAUAGUGGUGCCGAACCCAAUCCAGCCAAUUUUUUAACCAAACUCCAUUUUCUCAAGCCUUUUUUUUUAUCACCACAGAAUGUUCUCACCUUGAAGAAGUUAGUUGCUGUACACUUUCACCCAAGUACCCAAAAUUGAAGAAGUGGAGAGAAAGUGUCGCACUGUCCAUCUCUUAACAUGACGUUUUUGAUGCCAAUGGUGCCUGCAUGCAGUUUCCUUCCAUCAUUUAGCCACUAUAAAACUCUCCCAAGCCUCCAUUAUUAGCCAAUAAUUGGAAAGAAAGAAGAAUCAACAGUUUUGGGGAAACUAAGUCUACAGCUAAUACACGAACUCGACAAAACAUCAGCAGAGGAGAAGGUGGUCACAGAGGUCACUGGAACCUUAUCUACACCAUGAAAUCUUCAUUAGGCCAUUUUGAACCUGUUGAGUAAAAAAUAAAAAAUAAAAAAAGACUAGCAGCUCUUUGGGUUUCAUGUGAACAGCCCCAAUUUCUUCAAUUUUUCCUGCCUUCAGGUUUAACAAUGCAAAUUUCAUUUGAUUGUCGGAAAGCAAAUUGGGCAAAGCUUCUCCAAUCUUCCAUGCAGUGUCAAGUGAAGGCCCUUUUAUUCCUAUUCCUAGACUUGCAUAUCUAUUCAGUCCAUGAGGUGAAGAUUACUAGAUGUUAUAAUUUUUAGCAAUUUCUUGAUAAGAAGUUUAAAUCUUUAAUGAUUUAAUUGACUAUUAGCCUGGUUGAUUCUCACAUCAUACGCUUUUCACCUUAAGUUCCACAUAAACAACCUGAGCAAGAGAUUUUAUUGCU